rnacentral:sRNA from 1 species
GAGGGCUCGUUGCUAUAGUGGGGGGCUG